rnacentral:lncRNA from 1 species
ACAUUAAGGUGUUACCUGCAUUAUGGCAUUCCAGUAAGAUCUUUACUCGUUUUGCUAUUUUCCCCAACAAACUUCCAUAAAGAUGAAGUAAGAGCCUUAGGUCGCAAGCUCGGUCUGCUCACAGAAUUACUAGAACGUCAUAUUCGUGGUAAUAAACUUAAAACGUCUGCAAUAUUAAAUUUUUCACUAUUCAAAGGAAAGCUGCAAACAUAUUUUCAGCAUUGUAAAAAAAAAAAGGCGUUCAUUCCCUUCAACCAAUUGUUAACUCACGAGGUCUCGUAGGAAUCUCCCUUACGCCACUUUAAUUGUAGCUGACAGUGACUGUUAUUAUGGCCCAAUUAGCCCAUGGUUAUCAAGAGCUGUCCUCUUGGUUCUCCGACCUAGAAACUUCCAUCGUCAAAAGAUUCCAGUACGUACUACUCGAUUUGAACAGUUGGCGGCGGAAUUUUACCAUCGGGCAGAACCCAAACGGUCGAAGCAUUGAAAAUGUCGGACCUCUGUUGAUGAAUUUUCACCAGAGAGUCUAACCACAUUGGAUUUAGGAGCUAUUUUCAUCAUCCAGGAAUUAUCACGUUGCUCUUGGACAGGAACCCAAAACCUGAACAGUUUUAAGGCUGUGGAAUGUUGAGUACUCAUCUGUGGGUGGAAAUCUUAUUGACAAAUGUUGCCAAAUAUCAAUUGAGACAGAAAAAACAUAGCACAAGUUUUGCAUAAAGGAAACAGGAGCUUCUGAUAAGACUGUUCGACAAAAGAGUCUGGAUUAGUUAGAACCACAGUUUAGGGUGAAACUAAAUGUAACUUUUACUUCAGAAAGUUAAAACCUGGAGUACCACCAAAUUAUUUUAUUGUUUUCUAUUAGUAAAUUGAAACAUAAAUUCAUUACUUUUUUUUUUUUGCCACCCAUUAAUCUUGUUCUUUAGGGUACCUUAUGUCGAACUGUGUUGCUGAUGAAACAUCCCCUUAAAGGCUUACAUAAAGAUAAAGUAAGAGCCUUAGGUCGCAAGCUCGGUCUGCUCGCAGAAUUACAGUACUAGAACGUCAUAUCCGAGGUAAUCAAACUUAGAACGUCUGCAAUACGAAAUUUUUCACCAUUUUAAAGGAAAGCUGCAAACAUAUUUUCAGCAUUGUAAAAAAAAAAAAAAAAAAAAAAGAGCGUCUAUUCCCUUCAACCAAUUGUCAACACGAGGUCUCGUAGGAAUCUCCCUUACGCCACUUUAAUUGUAGCUGACAGCGACUGUAAUUAUGGCCUAAUUAGCCCAUGGUUAUCAAGAGCUGCCCUCUUGGUUCUCCGACCUAGAAACUUUCAUCGUCAAAAGCUUCCAGGUUUGUUAUGGUCGUAGAACAGCAGACGACGGAGUUGGCGGCGGAAUUUUACCAUCGGGCAGAACCCAAACGGUCGAAGCAUUGAAAAUGUCGGACCUCUGUUGAUGAAUUUUCACCAGCACUCUUCCACAAGACGAACGCGAAGCAAACGAUAGCGAAAGAGAUAUGGACUUGAAUUGGUUGUUUUACAACCCAUGGCUAUUCCUCACUCCAGGAUUAGUAUUAUACACCUUUUGCACUUGUCAGAGCGUUCGGAAACGAAAUUUGUUGCUAAUGGGUUUGCUGUUGACAAGCAAGGGAAGGAUUUGAAUUUUUACUGAACUAGACAGGAAUGAAAUUUUUUGUGGCUGGUUUUGUUGUUGACAAGCAAGGAAAGGAUUUUUUUUACCACAGUAGACAGGAUAUUUAUUCUAAAUCCCACAAUGUGCUGACUACAAAUCGUAAUGAAUUAGAAUAGGAUUUUGACUGAGGCUGGGUGCUAAAACAAUUAAUUGGAAGCGCGAUUGGAAAUAUCCAUGAUUUAUUAACGUUAUCCCAUGUUACGGUAUUUUAUUAAAGACAAAUUGAAGUGCA